rnacentral:rRNA from 1 species
AGUGAACGCUGGCGGUAGGCCUAACACAUGCAAGUCGAACGGCAGCACAGUAAGAGCUUGCUCUUACGGGUGGCGAGUGGCGGACGGGUGAGGGAUACAUCGGAAUCUACUUUUUCGUGGGGGAUAACGUAGGGAAAAUUACCGUAUACCCCCUUAGGGCCAACGGGGGAAAGCAGGGGACCUUCGGACCUUGGGUGAUUGAAGGAGCCGAUGUCGGAUUAGCUAGUUGGCGGGGUAAAGGCCCACCAAGGCGACGAUCCGUAGCUGGUCUGAGAGGAUGAUCAGCCACACUGGAACUGUGACACGGUCCAGACUCCUACGGGAGGCAGCAGUGGGGAAUAUUGGACAAUGGGCGCAAGCCUGAUCCAGCCAUACCGCGUGGGUGAAGAAGGCCUUCGGGUUGUAAAGCCCUUUUGUUGGGAAAGAAAAGCAGCAGGUUAAUACCCCGCUGUUCUGACGUUACCCAAAGAAUAAGCACCGGCUAACUUCGUG